rnacentral:rRNA from 1 species
GGACUACCCGGGUUUCUAAUCCCGUUCGCUCCCCUAGCUUUCGCACCUCAGCGUCAGUCACUCGCCAGGACACUGCCUUCGCCUUCGGUGUUCCUCCGGAUCUCUACGCAUUUCACCACUCCACCCGGAAUUCCGUGUCCCUCUCGAGCCCUCAAGUCAAACCGUCUUUCGCAUCCUCGGGUAGUUAAGCCACCCGCUGUCACACAAAACGCGCCUGACCGCCUGCAUGCCCUUUACGCCCAGUAACUCCGGACAACGCUCGCCCCCUACGUAUUACCGCGGCUGCUGGCAC